rnacentral:misc_RNA from 1 species
UACAGAGGGUGCGAGCGUUAAUCGGAAUUACUGGGCGUAAAGCGCGCGUAGGCGGCUUGGUAUGUCGGGUGUGAAAUCCCCGGGCUCAACCUGGGAACUGCAUCCGAAACUGCCUUGCUAGAGUAUGGGAGAGGGAAGUGGAAUUUCCGGUGUAGCAGUGAAAUGCGUAGAUAUCGGAAGGAACACCAGUGGCGAAGGCGACUUCCUGGACCAAUACUGACGCUCAAGUGCGAAAGCGUGGGGAGCAAACAGG